CCGCUCCGAGGGGCCCACCCGCGAGCAGCGGGGAAGGCGGGGACCCGGGCCCCGCGGGCCUGCAGCGCCCCCGCACCCGGUUCCACGCGCCCAGGGCCGCCCCCGCGGAGAGAGGGGGCGCGAGGGGCGCGCCUCUCGCUCGGACACCCUCUCCCAGCUCGCGCCCCAGGUGAGAAAAUGAAGGCACAGAGAGAUUGAGUAACUUGCACAAGGUCACAUGUAGGAGAACUGAGCAUCCACCCUACUCAGCCUGGCCCCAAGGUCCAAGGUAACUUAAACCCAAUUAUAAAUGGCUUUGGCUAUAAAGUGUUCUUGAAUGAAAACGUUUAGGAAGUAGGCCUGGAUUCAGAUGCUUCAGAGGCUCAAAGGAAACAGGAAUCGUGGCUAACCAAAUCCAGCCCAACUGCUUCCUUGUUCACAUGGGGAAAUCGAGGAAGGCCCGGGGAGAGGAAGGCCUGGGGAGAGGAAGUUACUUGCCCAAGUUGCCCAGUUAAUUAGCCACAGAACCCAUGUCCCCCAACUCUGAAACAAGUUCCAGUUAAAGUCUUCACUGAUAACUUUAAAUCCUCCACUAACCAAGGGAGUCAUCUUUGCAUUUGCACAGAGGAGAUGGGAAAAUCACAAAGCCCUUAAGGUCCAGAAGAAAUGAGUGUCACUACGUUGGGCUCCCAGGCUGUGCAACAAGCUGUGGACGGAGAUGUCCGGGCAGGGAGCCCGGUCCAGCUCCCCACCCAUCGCAUCAUGGAGUCAGCCGUCUCCUCUGGGGACUGCACCCUCUGGGUGCUGAGAAAUCCAAAUGGCUCUUUCUCAUGCAGCCGCCCCAAGUGGGCAGGAUGGCCCUUCUCUUGAUUUGUUUCCUGCUUACUUUGUGAGAGUCAAAGUGCAUCCUUCAGGACCAAAGUGGCCAAGGGGCCAGCAUGUUAUUUAGAGUGAUCAAAAUGGACCAUUUUCAACUUGGCCCUAUUUCAGCUCCAGAGCUGUGGUUUCCACUUGCUUUUACUUAUCUGUAUUUUCUAACAUUUCUUUAGCAAAUUUGUAUUACUUUGGCAAUUAGAAAAAAUGACCAGUAAUUUUUAUAAAAGGAUUUGUGUUUGAUUUCCUUUCAGAAAGGCACUUUCAUUUAUUAAAAGAUCACAAUGAGAAGUGAAAUUAAGUUGAUCUUUCUCUCUGGCAAGGAUGUGUGGGGAGGAAUGGGGAGGUGAAUGCUGGGAGCAGAAGCCACAGCUGCAGAGCACUGCAGUGAGUGAAGGCUAGAUCAGGAGACUGGACCAGGAGGCUGGACCAAUUGGCUCUGUGGUCCUAGGCAAGUCACUCAGUGUCUCUGGGUUUCUAUUGCUAGAUGUUUGGUUUCAUUAUUUCUGGAGUUCUUUCCAGGAAUUCUCUGUAUGGAUACAGUCUUUGAGCUUUAGUGAACGUUCAUAUACGCUGUAGGAGAACAUGUAAUGGCUCAGAAAUGUGUUCAGCAUAAAUUCUGUUUGUCUUUGCGGUCCUGUGAGACUGCUGAAAGUUCUGCUCAGCUUCUCUGCUUCUUAGCAUUUGGUUUCUUCUCAGCUUCUCAGUCUCUCCGUUUAGCUCUUUAUGAAUUGGCAAAUUCAUGGAAAAGAGCACAUAGAAUGUCAGGCCCCUGCUCCAUUCAUUUCUCUUCACCCUGAGAUCUUGAUCCCUCAAGUUCUGGCUUCCUGGAUAGCUCUUUCGUGCCUUCUAACAGAUUUUUAUUUUCUUUGAACAAUUCUACCCAGGUUUUCUAAUUGUUUAUGGAGAAGAUUGAUCUUCACAAGCUAGUUUUUUCAUAGGCAAAAGCAAAAGUCUCUUCCUGUGUUAUUAAGUGAAAAUGGCUGAUUAUAAAAAGGGGCUUACAAACAAUAUUUAACAAAUCUUCAUCAAGUCCCUACUCUGUGGCAGGCCCUGGGUCAGGAGGUUGCCGAUUCCAGGAAGAAUCAGACCUUAUCCCUGCCCUUGAGUCUCAAGAAGAGGAAAGGAAAACAAAUAAGCAUAGUACAGUGUGAAAAGUGGGACUGUGGUCAAAUUUCAGUCUGCAAACUCAGAUCAUGAAAGAUAGUGUGGCUUCCACUUUGGUCUCUUAUAUCACCUACUGGGGGAAGCCAGCUGCCAUGUUGUGAGGACACUCAAGAAGCUCUGUGGAGAGGCUCUUUUGAAGGAGAACCAAUGCCUCCCACCAACAGCCAGCAUCAACUUGGGACAUGUGAGUGAACCAAUUGGAAGUGGAUCCUCCAGCCAAGUCAAGCCUUCAGAUGACUGAAGCCCCAGCCUCAUGAGAGAUAGCAGGCUAAAACUGCCCAGCUAAGCUGCUCCUGAAAUCCUGACCCCCCAAAUUAUAAAAGACAAUAAAUUAUUAUUGUUGUUUUAAGCCACUACAUGUUGGGGUGAUUCAUUAUGCAGCAACAGAUAAUAAAUACAUCACCCUUGUAUUCAUUACUGACGUUUAUUGGGAGCAUAGUGUGUGAUUUUUCAUUUAACCCUUCCAGUAAUGCUGUGAGAUAGGUAAGUUUAUUAUCCCCAUUUUACAGACAAAGAAACUGAGGUUCAGAAUGAGUGAAGUCUCUUCCCUGCAGAGUCCCUGACCUUAAGGAUUUUAUGGUCAGAUCUGAGAGACAGAAGCUCAAAAACCUAUGACUCUAGGCAAAAUAUGGCCCUGGGAUCCCAGGAUGGGGAGAGGAAUUUUGGAUUCUGGCUUCUACUUGGGCCUCAUAGCUUGGGAUGACAGAGGGUACACUCCAAAGGCAACAAACACCUUCCCUGCCCUUGAGCACCUGCUUAAUCAAGGGGAGAAAGUUCAGAUGCUUAUGCAUAAUGUGUGGUAUUUCUCUGCACAGAAACACACACGGGCCUGUACAGUAAUAAUGAAAAGCAACAACCCAUCUUAAGGGCUUGGCACUUUGCACUUACAAAGCCUUAUACAUCCCUAAUUCCAUGGAAUCACACCUGGCAGGUAAGCGUGGCCCUGUACACUUUACAGAUGGGGACACUGAGGUCAGGGAAGUUGUGUGAUUCUUGCAGAGCCAAGCAGCCUAGAAGUGGCAGAGUUCAGGUAAAACCCAGUAACUGGGUGUUUUACAAGUGCUAAGGGUAUGACAGGAGGUAGGCAGGGCUCCUCUGAGGGAGGUUUCAGGAAGAGGUCACCCGCGAGCAGGGUUCUGAGAAUGGGGAAGUGGCUUCGGGGAGAGGAUGGUGCCUGGGAGGGUUUGAGAGGAAACAGAGUGAGUCCCUAGGGGCUCCCAGGGUGUACGAGGGCAAAGAGGUGAACAUAGCUGGAGUGGAAAGAAUGAGAAAGCCUGGGUGUGUGGAAGAGCCUUGGUGUGUUAGGUGGAAUUGCAGCUGGAGGGUGUGUGCAGAAUGAGAGGUCUUGGUAUUGGGGCCAAAGUCAACUGCCACGCCUAAGGAGGGAGGAAGGCGCUUAUUUUGCUUCUUGGGUGAAAAUCAUUCCUGUGAUUUAGUUCUCCUUGGGGGAGGGGCGGGGUUUCAUCCAGCCUUAGCAAAUGCAUUCAAUCUUCACUACUUCUCUCUGUCAGAUGGGGUGGAUAGAGGUCCAAAUGUGGGCAGAAGCUUUUAUGUCCCAUCGCAGGGCAGCUAAGAACAGCUGCGCGGGUCGUUCACUGUACAUGGGCACUAGGCCAAAAGGGACUGAAAUCCGGACGGCCCUUUGUUUACUAAGCCAUGUGCCUGCAAGGCUGCACCUGCCCAGAAGGAAUGCUUCCUAUUUCUUUUCUUUAAAAAAAAAUUUUUUUUAUGAGCUAAAAUUCACAUAACAUAGAAUCUACCAUUUAAACCACUUUAAAGUAUAAAGUUCAGUGCUUUUAGUAUAGUCACAAUGUUGUGCAACCAUCACCACUAGCAGUUUUCGGAACAUUUCCAUCAUCCCAAAAAACAACUCCAUAACUCCUAAUUCCCCCCCUUUCCCCAUCUCUUGGCGACCAUGAAUCUGAACUUUCAUAUGAAUGGAGUUCUAUAAUUUGCUGUCUUCUGUGACUGUCUUCUUUCAUUUGGCAUUAAAACUUUUCAAGUUUUACCCAUGUUGUGGUAUGUGUCUGUACUUCAUUCCUUUUUAUGGCUCGAUAAUAUCGCAUUGUGUGAAUAUUCCACAAUUUGUGUAUCCCUUCAUGAGUUGAUGGACAUAUGGGUUAUAUCCACUGGCUGUUAAGAACAGGCGGGUCACGGUGGCUCACGCCUGAAAUCCCAGCACUUUGGGAGGCUGAGGUGGGCGGAUCACCUGAGGUCAGGAGUUCUAGAUCAGCUUUGCCAACACGGUGAAACCUUGUCUCUACCAAAUAUAUAAAAAUU
rnacentral:lncRNA from 1 species